AUUUCAUCUUGACCAUCUUUGAGGGACUAUUGAUGCUUUUGGUAUCAGCAGCCACAGAAUUCAUCAGACACAGCACAAAAGAGCAGGAGAAGAGAUAAUGGCAGAUGCCAGAAGGUUGUCCAGCUGGUUACUACCUCUCCUCUUCACCUGAUUAUACCUGAUUACUGCUGACUCGAUGGGCAGGGAGAGUCGCUGACUCCUGACAGAAAGACUCUGUCACCCCUUGAGACGGGUUUGGCUCUGUGAUUCAUCAGAAAUAAGAAAAACAAACACUGUAAAUGGAGAACUUGAAAAAGAGGUGGGCACCAUCUCCCCACCCAAGAGAAUGGAUUUAAGAGGAAAUUUGUUUAUGGGAUGAAGUUUUAAAAGGCGACCUGGAAAAUUUAGCAAAGAUGUAAAUAAACAACUCUUCCUUGGAUUGCAUUAGGCUUCAGAAUAAAUAUAUUAACCAGCUUCAGUCAAAGUCUGCCUAGAAUCUGACCCUGACAAGACCCAGUGACUAGUGCUGCUCCGAACCUUCCCCACCAACAGCAGGCAAUUUUCUCUGUGGCAAAGCUACCUCGAAACAGGCAUCCAGGCUUCCCUCCCACGAAGUGAAGAUGAGAAAACUGAGUCUCAGAAUGGACAAGCUCACAGAUGGCAAGUGGUAGAGCAGACUUCACACAUAGGUCUGUAUGACUUUUUAAAGUUUAUAUUCUUUCUCUUGAAAAAAUACCUCUUUUUAAAAGUAUUAUUCCUCUGUUUAGUUUUAGAUUGUUAUGAAAAAAAAAGGACCUUUUACAGAUCGACUCUUUUAUCCUACAAUAGGGGCUCUGAACCAUUUUGUGUAGGUUCAAAUAGAGCUAGGUUAGACAGAGUUGUCAACGGAAUCCAUCCAGUAGCCUCUGGCAUUUCAAGCAAAGAUUCCUUCAGAAAUACAUCUAAUAAUAGUUGUUCAUCUUCACUGAGCAUUCAUUAUACCCCAUGCACUCU
rnacentral:lncRNA from 1 species